CGUGGAUCCAGUUAGGCCUUCCGGCCAAUUUGACAGAGGUAGGGGAGAUCAGGAGAACUUGGAACGGUCCGUCAAAUCUUGGUUCCAGGGUAUGUUUUCGCACAAAUUUCUUGACCAGAACCCAGUCACCGGGGAGCAGACUGUGGUUGCCUGUGUCAGAAUCAGGAUCUGGAAUUUUAGAGAAAACUUGGACAUGGAUUUUGUUCAAAGCAUUUGCGAGUUCAGUUACAUAAUCUACUAAAACAUCAGUUUGAAGUUGUAGUUGUUGGGGAAAAUAGCAACCUAGCCUAGGUGCAGUCCCAAAUAGAAUCUCGUAUGGGGACAAUGAGGUAGUAUUUUUGUACAAGAGCAUUCAUUAGAUCUUUUGAUAAAUGUGCAGGUCUGUGUGCCCAUUGUACGACUGCUGGGUACAAAUUCUUAGGGAGGCAGAAAUUGAGGUUGUUGGAGUACACUCCAUCCUUCAGAACUGCCCCUUUCUGUUUCCACUUCUGUAUUUCUUCAGGGGCAACUGUAGCCUAUUGUUCCAGCAGGAUUUUCAGGUCAGUUGGAAGAGUCUGCAGAGUAAAUAUGGGAGUUUCUUCAUUUCCGGACACUCUUCUUUCCACUUCCUGUGGUUCUUUUGCAGCUUGUUUUGCAGCCUGAUCAGCUAGAUGGUUGCCCUUUGCUUCAUCUGAGUCCAACUUCCCAUGUGCUUUUAUCUUCAAAAUAGCCACUUCUUCUGGGAGUAGGAGGG